AACGCACAUUGCGCCCGCCAGCAUUCUGGCGGGCAUGCCUAUUCGAGUGUCAUUCGCACCCCUCAGGCCCUGCCUGGCGUUGGAGGACGGCGCCCGCGCAGCCUCCCAAAGCGAGCGGCGGUGGUCCCCGCGGAACCGAGCGCAGUCACGUCUCGUCUCGGGUCCCGGGGACCGUCCGGCCGGAAAACACCCCACGACUACACUACGUUGACCUCGAAUUAGGUAGGAAUACCCGCUGAACUUAA
rnacentral:misc_RNA from 1 species